rnacentral:rRNA from 1 species
GAUGAACGCUGGCGGCGUGCCUAAUACAUGCAAGUCGAGCGAACGGACGAGAAGCUUGCUUCUCUGAUGUUAGCGGCGGACGGGUGAGUAACACGAGGAUAACCUACCUAUAAGACUGGGAUAACUUCGGGAAACCGGAGCUAAUACCGGAUAAUAUUUUGAACCGCAUGGUUCAAAAGUAAAAGACGGUCUUGCUGUCACUUAUAGAUGGAUCCGCGCUGCAUUAGCUAGUUGGUAAGGUAACGGCUUACCAAGGCAACGAUGCAUAGCCGACCUGAGAGGGUGAUCGGCCACACUGGAACUGAGACACGGUCCAGACUCCUACGGGAGGCAGCAGUAGGGAAUCUUCCGCAAUGGGCGAAAGCCUGACGGAGCAACGCCGCGUGAGUGAUGAAGGUCUUCGGAUCGUAAAACUCUGUUAUUAGGGAAGAACAUAUGUGUAAGUAACUGUGCACAUCUUGACGGUACCUAAUCAGAAAGCCACGGCUAACUACGUG